rnacentral:rRNA from 1 species
UGGGGAAUUUUUCGCAAUGGGCGCAAGCCUGACGAAGCAACGCCGCGUGGAGGAUGACGGCCCUAGCGGUCUUAAACUCCUGUCUAGCGGGACGAAAGUCAUCAGGGCAAAUAGCCCUGGUGAUUGACUGUACCGCUGGAGGAAGCUCCGGCCAACUCCGUGCCAGCAGCCGCGGUAAUACGGAGGGAGCAAGCGUUACUCGGAAUUAUUGGGCGUAAAGGGCGCGUAGGCGAUUGGGCAAGUCUCUUGUGAAAGCCCAGGGCUUAACUCUGGAAGUGCAGGAGAUACUGCUUAAUUUGAGUUCAGGAGAGGAAGGCAGAAUUCCCGGUGUAGCGGUGAAAUGCGUAGAUAUCGGGAGGAAUACCAGUGGCGAAGGCGGCCUUCUGGACUGACACUGACGCUGAGGCGCGAAAGCUAGGGGAGCAAACGGGAUUAGAUACCCCGGUAGUCCUAGCCGUAAACGAUGUCGACUUGGUGUGAGCCGGUUUUCGGUUCGUGCCGUAGUUAACGCGAUAAGUCGACCGCCUGGGGAGUACGGUCGCAAGGCUGA